GAUGAACGCUGGCGGCGUGCCUAACACAUGCAAGUCGAGCGUGAACCCUGCGAAUGAAACUUCGGUCGAUUUUGCAGGGGGAAAGCGGCGGACGGGUGAGUAACGCGUAGGUAACCUGCCCCAUACUGAGGGAUAGCCUCGGGAAACCGGGAUUAAUACCUCAUAACACCGUAUAUUCGCAUGGAUGUGCGGUCAAAGAUUUAUCGGUAUGGGGAUGGGCCUGCGUCUGAUUAGCUGGUUGGUGGGGUAACGGCCUACCAAGGCGACGAUCAGUAGCCGACCUGAGAGGGUGAUCGGCCACAUUGGAACUGAGACACGGUCCAAACUCCUACGGGAGGCAGCAGUGGGAAUAUUGCACAAUGGGCGAAAGCCUGAUGCAGCAACGCCGCGUGAGCGAAGAAGGCCUUUGGGUCGUAAAGCUCUGUCGGGUAGGAAGAUAAUGACGGUACUACCCGAGGAAGCCCCGGCUAACUACGUGCCAGCAGCCGCGGUAAAUCACGUGUAC
rnacentral:rRNA from 1 species